rnacentral:rRNA from 1 species
CUGACCUCAAAUCAGGUAGGACUACCCGCUGAACUUAAGCAUAUCAAUAAGCGGGAGGGAA